ACCAUGAGAAGCUUGGUGACGUGAAAUGCUACAGUAAAAUUUUAAAAUAAUCUUCACACGGCUCAUAGAACUUCCUACGUGGUCCAUGGUGGACCGCAGAGGAGGCGUGGUCCAUGGUGGACCAUGUGGAAAAAUGCUGGGUGGCUGUUCUUCUUGCGGCUCAUGGGGAGUUUUUGGCGGGCUUCGCGUGAGAGCAGAUUCGGCCUGGGUGCGCUGC
rnacentral:lncRNA from 1 species